rnacentral:sRNA from 1 species
UGGAGCCUUGCUAGCGGAAGUCCCACCCAGUGGGCGGGGCUCCAGAGUGUUCAGCUGUUCCGGCGUAGCGGAGCUUGUGCGCCAUGACACCUCAAAUCUCAAAUGCUCUCGGUCUUAGCGCCAUCUUCCUUGAGACUCCUGCGCCGUGAGAGCGAAGUGGUGGAAGAAGAGAAUGCGCAGGCUGAAGCGCAAGAGAAGAAAGAUGAGGCAGAGGUCCAAGUAAACCAUCUUGUGCACCCACGAAGCCUUCGGGAGCAGAAGUAAGGGAUGCUGAAGCCCGGAACAAGUAGUUGGACUGUAUGCUGCUGUCGGUAAUAAGUCUCAGUAGACCCGGAAUGUCACCUUGCCGAGAUCAGCUGGGAAAAUGACUACCUUCCUCACAACGAAAACAGUCCCGCUGGCCCUCUGCCCUGGACCUUUGGCAUUCUGGACUAGUUCUGUUCUCUUGUGGCCAAGUGUAACUCGUGUACAAUAAACCCUCUUGCUGUCAAAAAAAAAAAAAUAUUUGCCACAACUCUUGGAAUGGAGGAGGAAAUCUCCGGACUAGGACAGAUCUUCAACUCAUGUCUCGCUGUCUCCUUCAAAUGGCACCCAGACGUCCUCUUUCCUACCUGGAUUCUUAGCAGCCACCACAGCUCCAAUGAUCACAGCUCCAAUAAUGGCCACAGCAGAGACGGCUCCAACGACAACAUAAAUGACAUUGGUUUCCAUG